rnacentral:lncRNA from 1 species
AGAGCCACAACAAAAAAUAAGCUAAAACAAAAACUGAGAAGAGUAGCGAAGAACAACUACCAAGCAACCCCAAAAACCACCCAAAUUAAUAUCCAAAACACUACUCAACUCCAGCCUUAUUGUUCCCAAACCAGCUGCAAAAUCCAAUUUUUGAGAGCAGCAAAAUCAGUGGCAACUUUGCUGAAAAAAUCAGUCCAAGACCCCCAGCAAAUCACCUCAUUUUCAGCCCCAAAUCGCUACAAAAAUAAAUGCAGCAGUCCAUCUCCUAAAUCAGCCCUCAAAACCAUCCUUAAACCAACUGUAUAUUACAUGUUUCAUCCGUGUAAAAACCAGCAACAAGAUCUCAAAAAAUCACACCAGAACAGCCCCUGCUUUGCACAAAAAACAACAGCUUCGAGGUCGAGUUCGAGUUCGCCGGUGAUGUCACAUUCGUAUUCGUGAAGCUCUCAGAUCCAGUUCGUUUUCUUAGCUUCCAUUCAAGUUUAAUUAGAUUUUUUCUUCACUGUAUAUAUUGAAGGUCAUUAAAUUAAUUUUUAAUUCAGCAAAUGCUUUAUGUUUGUG